rnacentral:tRNA from 1 species
ACCUGGUGGCUCAGUCGGUGGAGUGUCUGACUUCAGCUCAGGUCAUGAUCUCGCAGUUUGUGGGUUCGAGCCCCGCAUCGGGCU